ACCCUUUAAUGUUUGAUGUUCUAACGUUGGCCCCUUACCGGGGUUGCGGACAGUGUCUGGUGGGUAGUUUGACUGGGGCGGUCUCCUCCCAAAGCGUAACGGGGGAGCACGAAGGUUAGCUAAUCCUGGUCGGACAUCAGGAGGUUAGUGCAAUGGCAUAAGCUAGCUUGACUGCGAGCGUGACGGCGCGAGCAGGUGCGAAAGCAGGUCAUAGUGAUCCGGUGGUUCUGAAUGGAAGGGCCAUCGCUCAACGGAUAAAAGGUACUCCGGGGAUAACAGGCUGAUACCGCCCAAGAGUUCAUAUCGACGGCGGUGUUUGGCACCUCGAUGUCGGCUCAUCACAUCCUGGGGCUGAAGUAGGUCCCAAGGGUAUGGCUGUUCGCCAUUUAAAGUGGUACGCGAGCUGGGUUUAGAACGU
rnacentral:rRNA from 1 species